UACGUAGGGGGCAAGCGUUGUCCGGAAUCAUUGGGCGUAAAGAGCGUGUAGGCGGCCUGAUAAGUCGGCUGUGAAAGUCAAGGGCUCAACCCUUGAAUGCCGGCCGAUACUGUCAGGCUAGAGUCCGGAAGAGGCGAGUGGAAUUCCUGGUGUAGCGGUGAAAUGCGCAGAUAUCAGGAAGAACACCCGUGGCGAAGGCGGCUCUCUGGGCAAUUCCUGACGCUGAGGCGCGAAAGCGUGGGGAGCGAACAGG
rnacentral:rRNA from 1 species